AGGAUGGUAAGAAUCACUUACAGGCAUUCGCAGACCAGCUGUACGAAGUGUUGAGAUGUAGUUAAUUUUAGCUACCCAUUCUAUCAUGCUUUCUUCUGUUGGAGCACAAAGAGUCUCUUCAGAUCCAUCCCGAAAUAUGACGGUAAAAGAACAAUUGCGUACAUUCUUCUUAUCUCUGUCACAAUAGGCAAACGCAUUAACAAGCGAAUAACUGGUAUCGGGGGAAAACUCUUCUAGAGGUGGAGUAAAUACAAGCGGAGGAAUUUUUGGAAAUUCAUAUUCCAUAGCCUCUGUAUCUAUACCUUGCAACGUGUCAAAACUGCUCGAGGUAGUU